rnacentral:rRNA from 1 species
AAUGAACGCUGGCUGCGUGCCUAACACAUGCAAGUCGAGCGAGAAAUCCCAAGCUUGCUUGGGAGAGUAAAGCGGCGCACGGGUGAGUAACGCGUGGGUAACCUGCCCUGGAGUGGGGAAUAACCCGCCGAAAGGCGGACUAAUACCGCAUACGACCUUUGGGCACAAGUUCAAAGGGGAAAGAUGGCCUCUUUUUAAAAGCUAUCGCUCUAGGAUGGGCCCGCGUUGGAUUAGCUAGUUGGUGAGGUAAUGGCUCACCAAGGCUGCGAUCCAUAGCUGGUUUGAGAGGACGACCAGCCACACUGGAACUGAAACACGGUCCAGACUCCUACGGGAGGCAGCAGUGAGGAAUAUUGCGCAAUGGGGGAAACCCUGACGCAGCGACGCAGCGUGGGUGAAGAAGGCCUUCGGGUUGUAAAGCCCUGUCAGAGGGGAAGAAAGGGGAUAUAGUCAAUACCCGUAUCCAUUGACGGUACCCUCUGAGGAAGCACCGGCUAACUCCGUGCCAGCAGCCGCGGUAAUACGGAGGGUGCAAGUGUUGUUCGGAAUUACUGGGCGUAGAGAGCACGUAGGCGGAUAGGUAAGUCAGGUGUGAAAGCCCGGGGCUCAACCCCGGAAUUGCACUUGAAACUGCCUGUCUUGAGUGUGGUAGAGGGGAGUGGAAUUCCCGGUGUAGAGGUGAAAUUCGUAGAUAUCGGGAGGAACAUCAGUGGCGAAGGCGACUCCCUGGGCCAUUACUGACGCUGAGGUGCGAAAGCGUGGGUAGCAAACAGGAUUAGAUACCCUGGUAGUCCACGCCGUAAACGAUGAGUACUAGGUGUGGGGGGUAUAAACUCCCCCUGUGUCGUAGUUAACGCGUUAAGUACUCCGCCUGGGAAGUACGGCCGCAAGGCUAAAACUCAAAGGAAUUGACGG